rnacentral:pre_miRNA from 1 species
GAUAUUUGGGUGACAACGAGAGAGAGCACGCUUGUGGAAAUCCAUGGACAUUCAUGUAAAAUACAUGUGUCUACAGGCGUGCUCUCUUGUUGUCACCCGAAUUUUGU